UCACCAGGCAUCCGAAUCAGAUGCCCAAGCCACCUCAUCUGGCUCCUCUCGAUGUGGAGGAGAAGCGGCUCGACUCUGAGCCCCUCCCGGAUGACCGAGCUCCUCACCUUAUCUCUAAGGGAGAGCCCGGACACCCUGCGGAGAAAACUCAUUUCGGCCGCUUGUAUCCGGGAUCUCGUUCUUUCGUUCACGACCCAUAGCUCGUGGCCAUAGAUGAGGGUUGGGACGUAGAUCGACCGGUAAAUUGAGAGCUUCGCCUUUUGGCUCAGCUCCUUCUUCACCACGACAGACCGAUACAACGUCCGCAUCACAGCAGACGCUGCACCGAUCCGCCUGUCGAUCUCUCGCUCCCUCCUGCCCUCACUCGUGAACAAGACCCCAAGAUACUUAAACUCCUCCACUUGGGGCAAGAUCUCCCCCCCGACCCGGAGGGGGCACUCCACCCUUUUCCGACUGAGGACCAUGGUUUCAGAUUUGGAGGUGCUGAUUUUCAUCCCAACCGCUUCACACUCGGCUGCGAAACGCUCCAGUGAGAUUUGUAGAGCCCCGUUUGAAGGAGCCAACAGCACCACAUCAUCUGCAAAAAGCAGGGAUGUAAUACUGAGGCCCCCAAAACGGACUCCCUCAACGCUUCGGCUGCGCCUAGAAAUUCUGUCCAUAAAGGUUAUGAACAGAAUCGGCGACAAAGGGCAGCCUUGGCGGAGUCCUACCCCCACUGGAAACGAUUCCGACUUACUGCCGGCAAUGCGAACCAAACUCUGACAUCGGUGGUAUAGUGACCGAACAGCCCGUAUCACAGAACUCCCCGAGGGACACGGUCAAACGCCUUCUCCAAGUCCACAAAACACAUGUAGACUGGUUGGGCGAAUUCCCACAUACCCUCAAGGACCCUGCUAAGGGUGUAGCUUUGGCUGCCGCCCAGCUCACAUCGCACCCGACCCCUUUGGCCCCUCUCAUGGGUGGUGAGCCCAUGGGAAGGGGGACCCACGUUGCCUCUUCGGGCUGUGCCCGGCCGGGCCCCAUGGGUGAAGGCUUUAUUCCCGACUGAAAUUGUACAGCAUUAAUAAAAUGAAAGACGGAGAUAUGUCACAUGGGACUAAUAAAUAGAAAAGUAUACAAAAAUAGACAACAGUAGUGGCUUGUGAGCACAUUCUGGCAUGUUGUAUGUGCCCCAACCAUGGGCAAAACAACAAAUCUCCCCUGCUUCACGGCUGUUCACACGACCCAUUGUGCGAUUACGUUCAAACUCCCAAAUGAUGAUAUUUUACUCUUAAUAUCAGCCGGGUGACAAUGCCGAUUGCAAAUACAUCAGGUCUGAAUCAGCACAGCUCAGUUAUGUUUUUAAACGUUGAAACCUCUUUCUGUGUACCGUCUUUCUUUGCAAAUAUCUCAUGUUACUUGUGUGUGUCCAAAAUGGUUUUUCCAUUAAAAAUGUAGUGGGUGCCGCUUAUGAUCAGGUGCACUCUAUAGUCCGGAAAUCACAGUACUCUUGGUCAAUUUGAAUUUGAAUUUGACUUUUAUUUGGUCUCCAGUCGGAGAAACUUGUCUCUGAGGAAAGGCCCUCUGUGCUGCUACAUGCAUUGGGCAAUACAUACCAAUACAACACACAACAACAUACAUUGGACAAUACAUACAGUACAGGACUAUAUAUAUACUGUAUUUUCGCGACUAUAAGGCACCAUUAAAAGUCUUAAAUUUUCUCCAUAAUGGACAGGACGCCUUAUAAUGCGGAGGCCGAGUUCCAAAGCCUGACUGAGAGCACUUCUGGCCGACACGCUGUUUAUACAGAGAAAAGGCAACAGGCAUGCGGAAGUCUGCCAAUGAGUGAAGGGUGGGCGUGUAAGAGGACGCUAAAGGCACGCCCCUAGCAGGUACCAGUUGCCCAUGAGUGAAGGGUGAGCGUGUAAGAGGACGCUAAAGGCACGCCCCUAGCAUGCCGUAUGUUGAAGAUGGCGUCUGUUUUACCAUGCCUGGCUGCGUCCAAUAAUACAGUGCAUUUUGUGUAUGUGUCAAAUACAGAAAUAGCACCCGUUACUGAGACUGCCCCCAACAAUACGGUGCGCCGAAUGGUCGUUAAAAUACGGUACUCUACACACAUUGGACAAUACAUUACAGGCAUAUGCACACCCCACACUGCCUUCAUGUCCUCAUUCUUGUCUGUCUGCCUCCCUCUAAUUGUUUGUUAAUUAAGCUGAUAGCCUGCCUCAAGUCUUUUUUUUUUACCUGAGUAACAGUAUUCUUACUUGAGUUUUGGCUACUUCGCCUACCUCUGUUCACAUGAACACUUUGAGACAGUAAUUCAGGCCUUUGUCACAUCCCGGCUCGAUUACUGCAAUGCCCUUUACUUUGGAGUCAGCCAGUCCUCCAUUAAGCGCCUUCAGCUGGUCCAGAAUACCGCUGCUCGCCUCUUGACUGGUACUCGUUAGAGGGAGCACAUAACUCCUACUCAGUCAUCCCUUCACUGGCUCCCCAUUCAUUUUAGAGUUAUUUUCAAGAUCCUCCUAUUUGUUUUCAAAUCUCUGAAUAAUCUCGCGCCACCUUACCUCUCUUAGCUCAUCCGCCCCUACACACCUUCCCGGCGCCUCAGGUCUGUGGACCAGACAUUAUUAGAAGUACCAAGAACUAAACUGAGGCUCAGAGGGGAUCGAGCCUUUUCUGUUGCUGGUCCCUCUCUCAGGAAUAACCUCCCACUGAACAUUCGCUGCCCAUCUUCAAAACCCUCCUCAAAACUCACUUGUAUUCUUUGGCAUUCGACUCAGCAUGACUUGGAUUUGUUCUUGGUUUUACUGUUUGGUGCUUUCGACCGCCUUUAUUACCGAUUUGUCUUUCUGUUUAUUGUGCAUGUUAAAUUGCUCCAUGUACAGCACUUUGUAUGCAGCGAUGGCUGUUUGAAAGUGCUCUAUAAAUACUUUUGACUUGACUUGACUCUGUUGAAAAAAAAAGACUGAAAAAUGAAACCAAAAUAUAAUUUUGUAAACAGGACCCAAAUCUGUCAGAUUUGUUUGGACUUUAUAAGGUCAAAAGAUUUUGGCUCAUUUUGUUUCCAGUCCAACUUCUGCUUCACAUGGACAGACCUACUUUGGCGUAAGUUUGUUUUUUUGCACCCAUCAAUGAAAGAAUCAAAGCCUGCUUCACAAAUGCAAAGCUGAGCCGUCAAGAUACAAGCUCGGACUGUCUAAUUAAAUACCAGGGUGAUGGAGGGCAAAUGGGGAGCAACAGAGAGAAGUAAUGAAAGAAAGAUUUAACAGCUGAGGCCAGAUGGCACAGGGACAGAAUUUAGAUGGAGUCCCGGGCAGACAGUGUUGAGAGCAGAGCAGAUGGGAGGAUGAGAACCAUCGUAAAACCGGAUUACCACCAGUGCUAUCGUCGUCAUGAUCUGAGGAAUCAUACCAGCUUUGAAGCUUAUUAUGUCAAAUGUGACAUUCGUGAAGGACCUUGUCUGGCUGAUGACAGGCACUUAGUGGCAGAAAGAUCAAACAAACCAAAAAAAACAUGCAGUGUUAUCCGUACUUUUGACAUCACAAGGAUUUUGUAACUCCCUGUGAUUUUUUUUCUUGUUCCUUUUUCACCUUCUUUUUUCAUCCUCCCUGCCAUGAGGUACCAUAUUGAGCAUUCAGUGACCACGAUUAAGGAGUGUGAUAGUGAUAAAACAACACUUCCGAAGACAGCUCAGAUAGGCUCGAGCACGCCCCCGACCUUUGUGAGGGUUAGCGGAUUCAAAAAUGGAUGGAUGGAUGGAUGGAUGGAUGUUUUACCUCUGUGCUGAGUUUUUGCAUACACUUCUCCACUGCUCCAUUCUACCAGUCACUAACGUCCACGUUCAUUCCUCACUCUGCUCAACUCAAUUACCGAAUCAGCAAUCAGCCACAAUUUAAGUCUCUCACGCUGACCCACUCUUUCCCUGAUUGUUCUUUCACUUUCAUUAAUGACACUCCAGUACUCGUCUUGGGAUUGAUUUCCUUUUGCCGACUCUACAAUCUUGCUGCUUGUAGACUGUAAAUGUCCCCAGUGUGGGACAAAUAAAGGACAUCUUACCUUAUCUUAUUUGCCUCUGACUUACCUUCCUUGUGGUUUUCCUGAUCAUCACCUCAGCCCUUUCUGCUUUGUGUUGGUCUAUCUCCACGGCUGCCUGGUAUUGUGCUGUUGCUCAACCCCCCCCCUCUUACCCCACCCCACCCCACCCCACCCCACCCUUUCCAGGUCAACAGAGACUCUGGUUCUGCACUUGUUUUUGAACUUUUUUAUUCGCCCGUCUGUCACAUCGGACAUUUAAGUUAAUUGUCAAUGAUAACUCAGGUCUGGUGUACUACAUUCGGGUUCUACUUGUGUCUGUAACAAUACAAUCUGCCCCAAAAUGUGCUGAGCACACCUUACCACCUCAGACCUGCUUCAAGUGAUUUGAGUCCUCAAGCAGCACAAAGAAUGAUGCUACCCCCUGCUGCCAAUGAAGCAAGCACGAUGCCAAGCACAAGUUAGCAACAGAAAUGCUGCUACGCGCUCUCCAACUUUGAACACCCCCAAUCAGAGGCUUAUGGAACGUUACGCAGGUGAUCCUGAGCCUUGUGGCCCCUUUCUGAGGAAAUGCUCUUUGUUGUUUUGCCCACAACUCCACAUAUUUUGCGGCUGAAGAAACCCAGUUUUUGCAACUAUACAUUUUUUGACGAGAAGUGCUCACCUCCGGGGAACCACUAAUUCCUCCAAUGACUUUCGCACCAAGUCCCGCCAUAGUGACCAAAAUUCAAUAGUUGUCUACAAUGCUCUCCUCUAUCGCCUGGCUGAUUACAUCAGGGUCACAAAUAUGUGAUCCCUUUUCAAGAUUUCUUCUUUUUUUUUUCCUCCUACAAAUGGGGUUUUGAAAUUUUCCUUACCCACCUGGGGAGUGUAGAUGAGGGGAUGUUGGUCAUAUUUGUCAACUGUAGGCUUGUGCAGGCCUUUGAAAUUUUUGUACGGUAAUGAAGGGCUCAAAGUCACCUGGAUUGGAUGAACCUGUGUCGCAUUCUCUUCCGUUCAUACUGAAUGCUCUAUAAAUACAGUUGAGUUGAGUUGAGUUGAAUGGGGUAAUCAAGCCAUUUAUUAGAGUAAAUGACACAUCCAGGCUCAGAGAAGGUGAAGGAGGCACGGUACCUUUACCACUUUUACACACUAUGGGUCUGAUGUCAGCAUCAUUGACGAGGGGUUCAACGCCAGCUGAGGUUGGGCAAGUUGGCAAAAAAAUUAAAUAUCCAAUCUUGUCAUAAUAGUAAAGGAAGUGCACUUUUAUAGUGCUUUGUCUACAUUAUAUGUUGUCUAAAAUGAUUUACCAAGCCACAAAUUCACUUUUUUGAAAACUUAGAGGCGCUAAUGGCACAACAGCAUCAACCUUAAGUUUGUUUAGGAUAACUUACUUUGACCUCCAGGAUGCCACGGCAGAAUCUACAGUGUUCUUCAAACCACCCACCCAACUAUUUUCUGAACUGCUUAUCCCUUUGCACCAGUUAUAAAUACAUCCUCUUGUCGUCAAGUUGCUGUCUAGCUCUGAGCUAAGCUGAAAAUUUUUGACUCCUGUCUGACGUAGUAAUGCCCUAACUCCCUUUGUAUGCAAGCAAUGAAGUAUCAAAGACAAGGGCAUUGAAAAACGGUCGAGCUGGGCUUCACUCACUGCUUACGAGCUGAAUCUAUUGCUUGAUAACUGGUAAUUCUGGGCUUUCCGGCUUGAAAGGUCGUUGGAUUUCACACGACGCAUGGGCUCUUCUGUCUCUUUGCUCUUAACUCAAUUAAAUUCUUUUGCAAUUUUGAUGCAGAUUGGUUUGUUACAUCAGCCAUGCAGCUAUGAUAUGUUCAAGCCACGUGUCACUUUCUAAUUGGGACUCUAACAUAGAGGACAUUGCGGUACUUCCUGUUUAUAUGAGAGCCACUCAGAGUGAAGGCUCUAUCUAUCGAAAUCUUUGUGCUGCCUGCCACCUACCUUGCUUCCUUUUUCUCAAUGAUCGCCAGAUCCCGCAGCAUUUCAAAAUGACUCAAUGUGCUUGGGUCGCGAUCAUUCUCUGUGCAGUUACAAGAAACAUGGUCGACUAUGAGUUUUCAAUGGUUAUUGUAAAAGUAAGUUGAAAACAAUUAUAAUUUUUGCAUAGCAAAUAGAAAUGCAUAUCUAACAUCAUAGUAGGUCCUUAUAGGUUGCAUUUUUUUAAAUGAUGGUGUUGAAAGUUACACCGUUGCUAUUUUUAGACACAGCAGGUUACCGUAUUAUUGUAAUACUGCCUAACCCAGGGGUCACCAAACUUUUUGAGAGUGAGAGCUACUUCAUGUGUCCUGAUUGUGUGAAGGGCUACCAAAUUGAUACGCGUCUGAAAUAACAUUUGUACAAAUUAAAUUUAAUAAUAUUAGAACAU